CAGUAGCCACGGGAAAACGAAGGGGGCUAGCGUUGCUCGGAAUGACUGGGCGUAAAGGGCGCGUAGGCGGUUUUGACAGUCAGAUGUGAAAUUCCUGGGCUUAACCUGGGGGCUGCAUUUGAGACGUCAAGACUAGAGUGUGAGAGAGGGUUGUGGAAUUCCCAGUGUAGAGGUGAAAUUCGUAGAUAUUGGGAAGAACACCGGUGGCGAAGGCGGCAACCUGGCUCAUUACUGACGCUGAGGCGCGAAAGCGUGGGGAGCAAACAGGAUUAGAUACCCCCGUAGUCCCUGUCUCUUAUAC
rnacentral:rRNA from 1 species